GGUGUUAUGUCUGAAGUUAUCAGUGUUCUUGUAGCAUACUGGGAAAACGGGAGGGAGGGGAAAGGCCGAAAGUUGAAAGCUUUGGUUCCAAUGAAUUUGUGUUGGAAAUUAUUUUAUAGAAGAUGUACUGAAUGCCUGAGCAAAGAGGGGAAUCUGUGGUGUGGGUUGUUUUAAGAUGAGUCCUUGGGCUUUGUUUUUGGCCUCUUGCCCCUAAAGGGCUGUGUGGCAGAGCUGGCAGCAGCAGAGACCAGCAGUGCACUGAGAGCAAUCUCUGAAGGUUUAACAAACCUUCAAUUACAGUCAGUUUCUACAGAAGAAAACGCCUUUAUCUCGCUCUUCUUGAUCAGUAACAAAGUAUUCCAAAGCUCAGUUGUUAAUACAAAUCUCCUAAGAAGCUUUUUAAAAACUACAGUUAUUUUAGCUACGAGAGUACCAGGAUCACUGCAGGACUGCAUGGUUGCUGCCCUGGUGGGAUUUUUGCUUCGUGUUGUUGAUUUUCAGAUCAACUGACAGCAAUAUGAUCUGCACCUCGCCUGAACAUCAGCCUGUUCAACAUCACAAUUGAGUUGGAUGUUUUUGUUGUUCAGUGCUGUGGUCAGAGGUGUGUGUGGUGUGCAGGGGAGGUUCUUCCCUGAUCGCAGUAUGAGCAGGAAAUAAAAAUCAUUUUAAAAUGUAUUUUCAAGUCAAUGUUUUAAGUUCACCUUGCUUCUGCUGCAGAGGAGUGUUAAGGAUCCUGUCAGCAUGCCUGGCUCCAUUAUUUCAGUAAACUCUUGCAGUAUAAACGGUCUCAUGUGAAACCAGCUUUUAAAUCAUAGAGUCACAGAAUGGCCUGGGUUGAAAAGGCCCACAAUGCUCAUCUUGUUUCAACCCCCCUGCUGUGUGCAGGGUCGCCAACCACCAGACCAGGCUGCCCAGAGCCACAUCCAGCAUAAAUACGUGAGUACGUUAUAAUGAGUCAGAUUUUGGUAACCAUGACUCACAUGGACAGUGCUGACAAUAUUUGCUAGAUGGUAGUUUUUUCUUGCAGUCUGUGGUGCAACAAAAUCAGUUCAGUGCAUGCGUCCUGCAAAUCUUGUAUCCUAUGUACCUGUAACUUUCAAGCUGUAGUGAAUAGGUCACUGCAUCGUUGUGGUUCUUCCAGGCCUGCUCUGGGCUUGCUGUCCAAGUAUGGUGUGCCCAUACAGACAUCUUUUCCUUACCCUUUUGUUGCUGAUGCUUUUCACAUUUACAGAUGUAGAUGUGCUGUAUGCAGCGUUAUUGCGCACCGUGGUAAGAGAGGGGCGUGGAUCUAUUUGCUGUCAGGCUGUGGCAGGUGCCAUAAAAAAACAGAAAGGAUAUCACCUACUCUGUCUUCUGAGCUCUGCUUUCAUUUAGUUAGCAGCUGAUUUGCCCUAAGCAGAAUUCCUGCAGUAUGUUAUAAACAACCUGGCUGGCUUCCUUUGUAGCCUGAAGCACUUCAAUUUGGGGAUUUAUUUAUUUUGGAAGAAAGUUGGCUUUGGCCUUUUUAUUUUGUUGGUUUUUUGAAUCUUUUUAGCUUGGUUUGCUCACAAGCUGCCUCACGCAUCAGCAUGAAAUAGUUACACGCACCGAGCUUUUUGCUAUCUUGACUUAUUCCAGGUUGGUUCUCCUUGCUACUAAAUACUCACCUGUGAUGUGUAAAAUGCAGGAAGCCAACUCUGAGCCUGUGUUUUACAACUUCAGUACCCACUCCAACCCAGGUCUGAACCGAUGCAUCUCCACUUCUUUAGUUUUUCACCUUGAGGAGUUAUUCUGGUGGAGUUAAAAAUGCAGCAGUCCCAUCAGGGUCAGAAAAAGACAACUCAGUCCUCAGUACUGUAGAGAUGCAUCAGAAUUAAAACAUGACUCUACAGCUGUGCUCACAGUUGCUUUUGUUUGCAUGUUAUUGCACGUGUACGUUUAUCCCGUAAGACAGGAGAAUGCAUGAAGUUAUUUGAUCAUGCAGUGACAUAGAAGCUUGUCUGGCUACAGGCUGUGCACUGAAAUCCAUUUUCAGCUUUAUGUGUGACCUCCUAAUUGAGGGCACAAUGGAAAUCGCAUCGAACGUGAUUGGAAUGGACAGUGGUAGCCAAGCGUUGUCCUGCAGUCUUUUGUCGUGUACCUCAAGUGGCUGGAGCAGGCUGACAUAACUACAUUUUUCCUCAUCAGUGUCUGUAGUUCAUGCUGGAAGCAGGUGCCCAAUGCCUGAUCACAGCUGGGCAAGUAAAACAGUUCACACAAUAAUCUGUGCUCUGUUUGAUGUCUUUUCUAUUGGCAAGAUUCUACUAAAUCUCUGAUGUGUGCGAGGAGGAAGAUAGAGGCAGGUCAGGAAUGGAUGAAUUUCUGUAGGUGGAAGCAUAAGAGGAGGAUUCUCUGUCACUGUUGUCUUCUCAUAAGCUGCUUUCAGCCUGGAGAAAGAUGGUAAUUAGAGUGGACAGAAUCUUAAGCUUUUGUCUUGCCUCGCCAGCAGUGCCAGGUUUCCCAGUCCUCUAAAAUAUCUGUGCUCUGUGCUGGUUCUGUAGCACGCUUAGCUGCGUGUACCAGAUGGGUGGAUGGAGCCUUUUGUUCUGUUCUGGCCUCGACCUUGAAGUCACAAUCAUCUGACGCUAUGGGGGACAUUUGGACAUUAUCAUCCUGGCUGGUACAGCUAUGUGACCAUUGUCAAAAGAAGGCAAGACUUAACUAGCUGGGAAGUGUUUAGAUGGACUGCAUGCUGGUAACAAGUAGGAAAGGCUGUCUGAAGGUUUACAGACACCAUGGUGAGCAGAGCUCUCGUACCUGCCCUAGUAAAUAAUCCAGUUAGCAGGGUAGCACUGCUAUGUAUGUGGAGAUUCACGGUGCAUGUCCUUCUAUGUCCUUUCUUGUGUCCUUAGAGGUUUAAAUAGAGAAUUUGUCAGCAAAAGCACAGAGAAGGAAGUCUUUGACAUAAUAUGGCCCUAGACCUGGUAGAGCUUACAGCUUCAAGUCAACAUCUUGAAUUCAACUUGGGCAGAUGGAGCAUUAAAUUCAACUGUAUCUGGUUGCUGUAGAGCAAAGCCACAAAGCUAUCUCAAACGCAAGUACUAUUAGAUAGGUAUCACUUAGGGGCAUUCUAAAAUGAAAUGACACGUUCUGACAUUCUUGCAGGAGAUGCUAUGCUGCCUUUGUGAUCUGAUGGAUAAUGUUUUCUGCCACCUGGGUAGAAAGAAGAGAUCAUGUGUUUUCUUUCUUUAGUCUCCUAUCUCAACAGAGUGCGGAGUUGGUUCCUGUCUGGACCUGAAUUAAUCUUUAUGAAGAUUGUUAAUACCAUUCUUGCUUCGAGCUACUGAAAAGAGAAGGGGAGCAGCGAGGGGAAAAAAAGAGAGAUUAAAGGGAAAAAAGCAGUAGGUUAUACAUGCAUUUUCCUCUGUGCUGCAGGUUAAAUAAUACCCUAUGCAUGUGAAAGAGAUACUGUGAUUAAGGAGCUGUCAGGCAGAACGAGAGUUGGGCAGCAAAGGGAGCAGAGAUGCUUGAGGGAAAAGGGUAUGAAAAUUAGAUCCGUGCAUGCUGCUUCGUGUGAGAACUUGUGAGAACUCGUCAGCUAUUGCAGAGCCUCUGGAAGCGUAGCUGUCAUCAUAUGCCUCCUGUUGGAAUUGGCGAACGGCAGGCACUCACUUUUUAGUCAGGUCAGUAUAUAUAUUUGACCUGUCCUGAGUUGCAUUUUCAUGCUGCACAGACGCCAGCCAUUCCCAGAGGCUCUCCUCACACUGCAGGAAGGUGCCUGUGUAAGCUGAGCUUCAGACGGGAUGAUAUGCCUGUCUCCUCUCAUAAGCUUUUUACUUGCAUUUGGUGGGUAAUGUAUCACAGAACUGGCAAUAAACAUGGAAGAACUUGUGUUGUUAAAAUGCAAUGCAAAGCUCUGUAUUUCUCUGGCUUCCCACUGCAGGGGGUUUACAGCCCCCCUCAGCUUCCUUGGCAGAACACAAUGCACUGUUCAGCUUUUGACUGGUACAGAGUAGUGGCUAAAGCAGAAGAGGAAAAGAUAAGAAGGCUCAUUGUCCAUAGUGAAAACAAGGAAAACCCUAAAAUGUGGAAAACUAGAGGUGGAAUGGAAAUGAAUGGCUGUUGAAUGGAGGUCUGGGUGGUAGGAUGGCCCUUCCGACUGGGUUGGGUCCAGCAGAGAUGGAUUCUGCAGAAGUGCGCGUGUAACCAUUACAGCAGAGCUCUCCAGGAAUGUUUUCUACCACUGAGGUGAGGAAAACAUGGAGUUAACAGUCUGACAGAUACAUUAAAGCAGAGCAUGUUGGGAUGGGGUAAUUACUGUAAAUCACUCAGAUUCACUUACGUAUAUUAGGUUGGAUGGGAACAGGGGGAUAUCCUUACCUUAGUGCUGAGUACAGACCGCAGUGAUGUUGGCUCUGCUGGCUCUUUGCUCUCUGUCUGUUUUUGUGCUUUGCUAAAACAAUACAGCUCCUUGCUGGCUCCCUUUUAAGGUGAGGCAGCGCCUCGGUGAUUCAUAUUCAGCCUGCAGGAAAACCACUGAACAAAAUUCUGUGAAGUUUUCCUGGUGGUGGUGGUGGACUGAGUCAGUGAUAGAUACAAACCUGUGUGUAUCUUCAGUUGUUCCCAGAAUAGGAUUCCACUGCUUUAAAAAGCCUUCCCACCCCAGGACAGUUUGCCACUUAGAGAGACAGGGUCAGCGCUUAACCUCCUUUCUGUUGCGGUGCACAGCGAGCAUUAAAACCAGCAGACAGACGUGUCCUUGCAGGGAGACUGUCUGCCUGGGAGCUCCUCACGGGGAGGCAAUCAGCCCCUGCCAUUGGCAAAGAGCUCUCACCCACUCAGCAGCAUUAAUCAGGGUUGACUGUUCCUCUUAAUCCUCUGAUCCCUUCCAUAAGGACGAGAACACAAGCGUGGCGUUUGCGUGUUAUGCUCUUCUUUGCUGACAGUGGGCCUGGCUCCUUGGUUGGUGAUUAGAGGGGUGGGUGAUCAAAACAUGAUUAGCAAAUCUGCAAUUAGAGUGAAGGCCAGGAGGGCAGGGGCUCACUGCGAGGAAGGGUCACAACUGCUAUGUGUCAGAAUCGAAGUAAAUAUGUGAAAGGACAGGGGAUUUAGCUGCACUCUUGUCUGAUGAGACUGCAAAUAGCCAAGGCACUGCUGGGAAGAUGCUUUGAGCACUGGAAUUUUAGAAACAAACAGCAAGCGAGGGGAGGCUUUCCUCCUGGACCAGGUAGUUUUGAAAAGCACUUUUUAAAGCAACAGAGGUCGUUCAUGUGGCUUAAAACACGAGCUCAGAAAUUGGGAUAUCAAUUCUUAGUUUUAGCCCGGAUGCUUUCUCUGACUGAUGCACAGGAACUAAAUUAAUCAUUUUCUUCAGCAGCUGGACAGCAAAGGUGCUCCCAGUGCCCUGCAGAGGUUCAUGAGCCUUUAAUAUAUCAGUGUGUGAAAUGCUUUGGGACUUUGGAAGAGGUCUAGCAAACCCAUAGACCGGUCUUGCCAGAUAAGACGAAUUGGAACAGGGAGUUCAUGUCACGAGCAACAGUUUGCUUGAAACCAACUGCAAGACAAGUAAUGUCAUGUUUUGGCUGCUCUUUUGGUUUAUGAAAAGCUAAGGUGAUAAGGAAAAUAUGGCAACCAGAACUCUGUCUCAGAAGACCUUGUCAGUAAUGUUGAUCUUGCAAAAUAUUCUUGAUUCUGAGCACUUUUUAUAGCGUAGUGUAUUAAAAGUGUCAAUUCUUGUGCAUCUCAAGAUUGGUUUUGAAAUGGGACUGGUGGUUUGAGAUAGAUAUGGUCAUGUAAUGGUAGGGAGUUGAUAAAUGCCUUAAUGAAAAUAACACACAGAAUUUCUAGAGAGGCUUUUGUCCUAGGAUCUUAAAGUACUUUACAAACAUUAGUUAAUGAAGUCUUGCUGCAUCCUUGUGGAAUAGGCAACUGGCAUUAAAUUGAGAGGAUAAAUGAGGCAUAGGGAGAUUAAAGGACUUGUCUGCGGGUAGAAUCAGUCAGUGGUACUGAAAGGAACAGCACAGCAGCCCUGUCCCCCUUCUCAAACCUUCCUUUUGUGCGUAUGUACAGCAAGAGCCAUCUGAAUGGGGUCAAUACAGUUGGGUACUGAGAUCAGCUUGGGGUGGUUGUGGUGAUGCUGGGUUCUUUUUUGGUCUGUAGAGGAAAUAACGAUGACAACAGUCUUUCAGAGAGCCCUUGUAGAUAAUUUUGGUCUACUAGUCAACCUUCAAACUAAAAAAUAUUCCAGAUGGUGUUUUCAGGAAAGGCAGAGCAAGCUUUUCCAAUACUGAUGCCUGUCUACUGGGGUUUUAUUUCUCUUCUUCCCCAAGGGACUCAAAGGCAAUGCAGUACAAGGGGGGUGGGGGGAAGAAAUAAGAUAAAAUAAAAACAGUAGUGGAAGCAGGCACAGUUCGAGGCAUUUUGCCAUUAUAAACAAUCGUCAGAUUUCCUUUUUGGUAAGACUUGCCCCAGAUAGCAGUAAAUAGUGAAUGUCUGCUGCUGUCUCUGGGAAUGAAUGAGUGACAUUCAUUCUGCUGGGUGACACCUCUGCUUCCUCCACUGGAGAUCUGCACCCGAGGGACCUGGGGAGGAGGGAUGGUGCCACACAAUAUGCUAUUAAUUUUCUGCCUGUUGCAGGAAUACAAAAUAUUUUGAUCCUCCUUUUCCUCCUUCCCCAAACAAGCACGUACAGAAAGGAAUUAGUCUUCAGAGAAAGAAAUAUCUUGUAGGUGUUUGUGGAGUACACCUAUAACUAUUUAAUUUAGUCAAAGAAAGCCACUCGCUCUGUUGUCUUAUGGUGGUAAGCAAGCAUUUUUUGUUCCUUAAUGUUUCCUAGGAACAUCCUCCCUGCUGGGUGUUCAUUUGUAAAUUGUAAACCAUCUUGGCUGACUCUUUGUUGUAACUUCUCUUUUUUUUCUAAAAUGUCAUUGAUUUUAAUGGCUGUCAGUGGGAGAAGAGAGAUCUUGCUAACAGUGGGCUGCGAUAAGUUGCAGAUAAGCAGUGUGUGGAAGUGCUGGUCCCAUCCAUACGGCCCUGCUGCUGCAGCCAGUGAUUACAGUGCUGCUUGUACUACUGGAGGCUUGUAAUUUGGUUUCCCUUUAGAAGCCUCUGACACUGCAGCCCAACAGGAGAGCAUCUGCUUUUCUUCUUGCUGAAGAGCACUGCCGAACCUUCUCUGUAAAGCUCGCUUAAAAACCUAUUGCUAGAUUUCACUAAUAUGUAAUAAUUUGGCUCCUUUUACCUACACAAAAUUACUUAUCUAAAUAAAAUGCAAGAAUAGUGUCUAACCGAAGGGGAAAAUAAAGAGUAUAAAUGUGUUAAUUACCAAAAUACCAGACAUGUAAUUAAUAUGCCAGAGGAACAAAGAGCAAAUGUACUAAUAGCACAUAAUUGGACUUAAACUACACCCUUGGUAGAAGUCUCUGCAAUGGAACUCUUGUGUUUGUGCUCCUUUUCAAAUUAGCAGUGAGGAAUAAAUUAACAUCCAUUUUCUUGCUCUCACAAAGGCAGAAUCAUAUUGUGGGGCGCAGUAAUGAAUUCAGAGAAUGCCUUUACAUUCCCGUAUGGCUCUCAGGGAUGGGAGUGCUGAUGCUCAUAGCUCUCCUCUUCCUCACAGCAAAGCAAGCAGAGAGAAGAGGAAAACGUCAUUGUGUGACCAGAUGUCCAAUGAGUACCACGAUCCUAAAUAUAAAAUUGAGUAUUUUAUAGCUGAGUAUUUUAAGCGUUUUCACCCUAUCUGGUGCAAAUACCUGAAGUAUUUCCACGAAUGUAAGUUUAUCUAUUCAUUAUUUUAGGUGCUGUAUGUGAUUCCAUUAUGUUUUCAGAUAAAUAUGUAAGGAAAGGAUUAGUCCUUGACCCAGAGGGACAAUAUAGGACAGAACUUGAAAGGCAACCCAAGGCUGCUCUUUUUCUUUUUAGCACAACGUAAGUCACUUGUUCAGUUCCAUGCAUAAAUGAGGAAGUUAAAGCAGUUGUUAACGUGGCCAAGGCUUGCUGUGCUGUUCUUCAGAACAGGUUUGCACAGUAAAACAGCAUAGAACCACAGGAGUCCUUGUUUUCCAUGGACACGCGUUCUGGAAUGGCUUGUCUGGAGUAUACCUGACUUUAAUUCUUCCUUUAUUGUGUUAGUAGGAGAUGAGUACAAUCACUUUGCUGCUGCCUGUUUCUCUUGCUGUACUCUCUCCCUCUUUGUCUUCAGCAGUGUCUUACUGAGCUUUAUAAAUAAUUGAUUGAAUGCUGUUUGGAGGCCGCAGUGGUUUCGGGGAUUUAGGAGGCCCCAGUACCCCUUGGAAUAAGGAAAUCAAUCUUGGAAGGAACAAGUCCCAUUUCAUUCAGGCUCCACUCUGAUUCAUCUCCUCCAACUUACGAUAGCUAUUGUGGCACCAGAUGGAAAGAAACACCUGUUUUUAUUAUGCCUCAGUUUUCCUGAGGUCCCUAAGUCAGGUCUGGAUUUUUAUCUCAAGUCUUGGAAGUGGCCCUGUCUGCACGUGGUUUGAGGUGCUUCAGGGUGUUACAGUCUUUCCGCUCUCCUAUAAAUGCAAAUGGAAAGCUUAGAAAUGGUCCUACUCUGUUGUAACGUACCUGUCAUCGCAGUAUCCAGGCACCUGCCUUUCUGCUCCUCAGAAGCCUUGUGGGAGUGCAUUAACUAACGCUUGUAAAAUGCUUGGAGGUCCUAGGAUGGUAGGUGCUAAUGAGUUGUAAGAUAUUAUAAUCGUGUUGCAGAAUAUGCAGCCCAUCUCUUAGUGCAGAAAGGCUUGCAGCUUUCCUUCAUUGCUUUCAUGCUUCUGGAUGCAUAUUUUGCAAGAGAAGGUAAUUCUAAACAGGAAAGAAGUAACGAACAAGAUGGAAGGAUUGCUAAUGCUGGUGCUUUUGUUGAGGAAGCGGCCGUUUCUAUGUGCUUCUUCGCUUAUUCCAUUUUCUUUUUGUCUCUCUGAUAAACCCAUACUUCAGUGGCUCGUUGAGAAUUCUCUGAAUGUUCAGAAAUGUCAGGGGAGAAGAUUUGCUGCUUCAGAUUGCCAGGGCCUUCAUUUGCAUCGCCUAAAUCAAUUCUCACACAUGAUCAAAGCACUUCUAGAAACAUUCAAGUGCAGGCAAAACCAGUCCCCUAAUUCUUUCUCCUCUAAUAUAUACACCCAGGUUCCAAAGCAUUAAAAAGGACAAAAUUAUCAGCCACCAAAUUUAAAAAUGCUUUAAUUUAAUGCCUCUUUAUGUUGAGAAUAUUGCAACUCUGUAUGUUUAGGGAUAGCAAGGCUAGGAAAGAUGUAGGUGGGAGUGGAGGGACCUGCAGUGGAGCUGAAAUACAGAUUCUAAGAAACUGCUCUGUUGUUGUCUGCAUGUAAUAUUUUGCUUGGCUGUGCAUGCAACUCUAUCAUGAGCUUAAUUACUUUACAGCAUAGUCUCUAUGGCAAUUGGUCUCCUUUCAGCACCGGUUUCAGGGCAGCUGUGAUAAAGCAAAUGCUCCAUAGAUGAGAUGCAGCUGGGUUCUGCGUUUGACUUCUCUUUAAAAGCAAUCAUAUUUGGGAAGUAAGCUAAUGUGCAUACAUUAAUUGAAGGAGUGAGACAAAAAUCAAGCCAAGGCCAGUUCUAUUCUCUUUAAAUAAAGACCCAACCAUUUUCUCAACCCACUUCCAGACUAUUUGAAGCCUGAACCCUCUUUCCCCUCAGCUCCCCUUUGGAAUAAGGGUCCAGAAUUACUAUCUAGAUACAGGGCACGCUGAGUGCAUUCAAAAUCAGUUAUGAGCCUGAGAUGUAACAGUCAGACACAGAUUUGCUGGUUACUUCAUUCAACGUGUCUCACAUCCCUCUCUAUGUGCGAUAUGCACCGUCCUCCUUUGAGCAGCAAGCAGGCUACCGCAUUCAUCUUUACCUAUCACCUUAUCUUUUCAUUUCUGGCUGCUCAGCUCCAUUCUGAAAAGUGCAAUAAAUACGUGUCCCCCUGGGUCCUUGCAAGCUGGGCAUUAGUCACACCAUGCGUUUCAAGGGCAUCAGUCUGAUAGUUUUUCAGCUGUAACAGAAAACAUGUUCUGCCAGGAGCCAUUUGUUCCAGUUUUGUUGCUUACUAAUAAAAUCAAAAUCAAUGUGUUUUUUGAGCUCGAGAAGCAGGUCGGAGAGUAGGAGGGAGAUAGGUGGUAAAAAUGGAGGUGCUGAAGUUGGAUCUUGUGAGUUUCUCUUGAAAUAAUGGCAUGUGGCAUUUCAGAGCAAGUGAGAAGCUCUGGCAGCUUGUGAAAGGCAGUCACCUCUGGCAAGCAGCAGAGCGGCUGCUUAACAGCAAAUAGGACUGGUGCAUAGCUUCACAUUGGGCAAUUUAAAUCCAAUUCUGUAAUAUGAAAGGCAUUGAGAGGGUGUUUUAUUUGCCGUGCUUCUGGAUUAAGUGCCAGUGGAACAUCCGUGGUGACACGGAUCGCUUCCAAUUUCUCGUCUCUGCUGCAGAUGGAGUGCUCCCAUAUCACCAGUUCCUCAACCACUGACGUGCCAGUUCAAACCAGUUAGUCAUCUACCCAAGCAAAAUCAUCUAGCUGAGCUUAAUAUGGCCUGUUGGCUUUACUGAAUCAGUGCCUUAGUCACAGCUGCUUCGGAGGAGUUUUGCUCAGAGGAAGAUGCAAUCAAUGCCUUCUCUUGCCUUGGAAUUUUCCCAGUUUCGUCAUGACUGAUUCAGCUGAUGAAUUUCUCUGAGCUGACACUGUCGCCCUGCAAUAAAUGAAGCUUACCUGGACACGGCAUUUCUUCUCUCAACAAUGUCUGUUUUCUUUGGAAUCGUUUAGAUGAGUCAGGAUGGUAACACCGCAGCCCCCUCCUCGCUGUGGUCAGAGGUCCCUGGAGGUUUUCAGAAGGGUAACUGCGUGGUGCUGAGGGAUAGAGGGGAUGGGGAUGGGCUGGGGGUGUGCUGGAUGCUCUUGGUAAUCUUUUCCAACCUUUAUGCUUCUAAAGGCGGAGCGCUCUUCCCCAUGUGAAUGUGUUAGAGUGGACUAUGGGGCGAAUUCUGCUCUUCCUCUGUCAAGAUGAGUGAGCCUGGAGUGAUCUGCAGUUUAAAGGUAAACAUUAUUUUGCAGAAAUUGUGUUAGAUUAGGGGUUUGUAUGUGCCUGCAUGCCAGCUGCCCACUGACUUCUAGGCCCCCUUCAGAUACCUUUUUAUUGGUAUUCAAACUCCAUUAUAUUCCUAAUUCAAAAUGAAUACUUAUGCAAAAGAUGGUUUAGACCAUGCAUACACCAAUGGGCAAUCACCUUAACCUCUCCUUGCAGAUCCACGCUCGUGGGGUGGUUCUCCAUGCGAUAAGUCAGGGAGAGAGUCGUGCUGAGCUGGGCAGCCCUUCCACUCUUGGUACAAAGAAAAAUAGAUGAUGUAGCAUGCUGUCAGCUGAAGCUGCGUUGGCAGAAUGUAAGGACUCAGCUCUCUGGCAACAGAUGGGCUACAGGCUUCUUCUGACACGAUCUGCCAUCCAGCAUAUGUUAGGCUGAGACACCAAGGGGGUUUAGACUGAGGCUUUACCUUUAAAGAAACAAAAUGUCUUAGCUGCUGCUGAGCUGGUGGCCUUACAGCAUGCAGUCAAUGGGAUGAACGUGACUGCUUGGUUGUGUGGUGAGGGGAUGGUCUCAUAGCACAGGGCAGGAACUGGAGCGCCAUUCGUUGUAGUGAGCCAUGAUGGAUUUCUCUUGGAAUUCCUCUUCUCUGCACAUCAUCAUAUUGGCACGUUUACGUAAGGGUGGCUGGUUUGAAGGAUGGAAAACCCUCCGUGGGGGCAGAGCAGCCUCUGCAAUAUCCAAAUGCAUCGUCUUGCCAGUUUGACCUCUUGCUGCAAGCGCUGUCUUGAUAUUUAAGUCACAGUGCUUUAGAAUACACACCUCAUUUCUGGGGUCUUGACUGUUCUGGGUUUUAUUUGUAUUUCCCCGUGGGAGCAAUGGCCAAUUGGUACAAACCAUGAGCAGUCAUACCUAAGUAUGAACUGCCUUGCUUGCAUUUUCUCCAUCAAAACUCUGACUAUGGCAAUUCUUCUCUUUAAGCACCUUCCAAUUGCAACUCUUGGCCGGAGCACCAAGAGCUUUCCUAUCACAGCGCAGGUUUGGUGUGAUCUAUUCCUAUUCAGUGCUAUUUUUCUGGUAGCACUUGCAGAUUAUCCCAUACACAACUUGCGGCCCUGUGCCCUGGCAGGAGCGUUCAGGUGGAGCCGCUGCCGUUUGCACAGGGGUAGCUGUGGGGCCCUGCAGGUUGUUCUGUGCCCCUCUGCUGCCCUUGCUGGCUGGGGUUAGUGAAACCUCAGCCUUUUUCUUUUCUUUUUUCCUUUUUUUGCUGCAAGAAGAGCACUAACAGCAUUUAAAUGGCUCCAUCGGGGCUUUAACUCUUGCUGCAGCGGUGCUCUUCUCGUCCAUCCGUGCUCAGCUCGGCUCCGGACAACCGGCCGCCCCCUCAGCUGCGCAAAAAGCCCAUCGCCGCCAGCCGCCCCGCAGCUGCGCCCGCGUUGCCGUAGCGCCCGGCGGGGCUCCUCCCGCCCCUCCCCCGCCCG
ensembl:lncRNA